rnacentral:rRNA from 1 species
CCUGCUUGAUCCUGCCAGUAGUCAUAUACUUGUCUCAAAGAUUAAGCUGUGCAUGUGUAAGUUUGAAAAAAUUUAGACUGUGUAACUGGGAAUGGUUCAUUAAAUCAGUUAUAGUUUGUUUGAUGGUAUCUAUUACUCGGAUAACCGUAGUAAUUCUAGAGCUAAUAUGUGAAACAAACCCCAACUUCUGGAAGGGAUGCAUUUAUUAGAUAAAAGGUGGACGCAGGAUCUGCCUAUUGCUGCGAUAAUUUAUGAUAACUCAACGAAUUGCACGGCCAUCAUGCCGGUGAUGCAUCAUUCAAAUUUCUGUCUGAUCAAGUUUCGAUGGUAGGAUAGCGGCCUACCAUGGUGGUGAGUGGUGACGGAGAAUUAGGGUUUGAUUUCAGAGAGGGAGCCUGAGAAAUGGGUACCACAUCCAAGGAAGGCAGUAGGCGUUCAAAUUACCCAAUCCUGACACGGGGAGGUAGUGACAAUAAAUAAUAAUACCGAGCUCAAUGAGUCAGGUAAUUGGAAUGAGUAGAGGAUCCAUUGGAGGGAACGUAUGGUGCUAGCAGCUGCGGUAUUUCCAGCACCAAUAGCAUAUAUUUAAGUCGUUGUAGUAAAAAAGAUCAAAGUUGGACUUUGGGAUUGGCCGACCGAUCCGCCUAUGGUGUGCAUUGGUCAUCUCGUCCCUUCUGUCGGAGAUGCGCUCUUGGCCUUAACUGGUCGGGUCGUGCCUUCGGCGCUGUUUCUUUGAAGAAAUUAGAGUGCUUAAAGCAAGCCUACGCUCUGUAUACAUUAGCAUGGGAUAACAUUAUAGGAUUUCGUUCCUAUUACAUUGGCCUUCGGGAUCAGAGUAAUGAUUAACAGGGACAGUCGGGGGCAUUCGGAUUUCAUAGUCAGAGGUGAAAUUAUUGGAUUUAUGAAAUACGAACAACUGUAAAAGCAUUUUCCAAGGAUGUUUUCAUUAAUCAAGAACCAAAGUUGGGGGCUCGAAGGCGAUCAGAUAUCGUCCUAGUCUGAAUCAUAAAUGAUGCUGACCAGGGAUCGGUGGAUGUUGCUUUAAGGACUCCGCCGGCACCUUAUGAGAAAUCAAAGUUUUUGGGUUCCAGGGGGAGCAUGGUGGCAAGGCUGAAACUUAAAGAAAUUGACAGAAGGGCACCACUAGGAGUGGAGUCUGCAGCUUAAUUUGACUCAACACGGGGAAAUUUACCAGGUCCAGAUAUAGUAAUGAUUGAUAGACUGAGAGCUCUUUAUUGAUUCUAUGGGUGGUGGUGCAUGGCUGUUCUUAGUUGGUGGAGGGAUUUAUCUUGUUAAUUCCGUUAACGAACGAGACCUCAUCCUGCUAAGUAGCAAUGCGGAGGUAUCCUUUCGCGGCCAUGUUCUUACAGGGAUUACAACCUCUUAUGCUACGGAUGUUUGAGGCAAUAAAAGGUCUGUGAUGCCCUUAGAUGUUCUGGACCGCACGCGUGCUACACUGAUAUAUUCAAUGAGUUUAUCGCCUUGGCCGACAGGCCCAGGUAAUCUUUGAAAUUUUGUCAUGAUGGGGUUAGAUCAUUGCAAUUGUUGGUCUUCAAUGAGGAAUUCCUAGUAAGCGUGAGUCAUCAGCUCGUGUUGACUACGUCCCUGUCCUUUGUACACAUCACCCAUCUCUCCUACCGAUUGAAUGAUUCGGUGAAAUGUUCGGAUUACGGCGACGUGGGCGGUUCGCUGCCCGCAAUAUCACGAGAAGUCUGUUGAACCUUAUCAUUUUGAGGAAGGAUAAUUCGUAACAAGGUUUCCGUAGGCGAACUUGCGGAAG